UUUGGGGCUAUGGAACAGAAGCACAUCAUCAUACGAAAGCCAAGUAUUACGGCAGAUCCACUUCAAAGAGGAGAUGGAGAUAUCAGUAAGAAAUGAAACAGUCUAAGCUGGGUGGGGAAGUUACUUGAGCUUGUGAAUCAUCGAGUCUAAUAAAUAAAUGAACAAACAACGCUUCUUUUUUUUUUUCAGUAAAUUACCAAACCCUUCCUAAGAUUGAUAAUGCUCUUAAUAAACUGCUGAAAAGGAACUGCAGCCAACUCAAGGUUCUCAGGAAGUAGCCAUCACUGAGCAGACAGGCUGGACUUGACUCAAAGCACAGCCACUAGGGCAGAAAUACCACUCUCCAAAAGAUAUCCAGACAGAAACCCAGAUCGAACGUUGAGACGUAUCUUCCCCUCCCCUUCUCAGGCCAGACGGGUUAGCUGAGGAUAUAAGCUUUCUAGAAAAGGAAGUCUGACAACGACAAACUGAGAAUCAAAGACUGAAUAAUGCAAGAUGCCAAAUAUCUAGAAGACACGCAAUGCAUACUUAAUGACACAAAAAACUCAGAGCCACAGUGAUGCUUCCCUCAGCCACCAGUGGG
rnacentral:lncRNA from 1 species